rnacentral:rRNA from 1 species
CUACGGGUUGCAGCAGUCAAGAAUCUUCCACAAUGCACGAAAGUGUGAUGGAGCGACGCCGCGUGAUUGAAGAAGCCCUUCGGGGUGUAAAAAUCUUUUCUCAGGGAGGAACUAAUGACAGUACCUGAGGAAUAAGGGGCUGCUAAACUCGUGCCAGCAGCAGCGGUAAUACGAGUGCCCCGAGCGUUACCCGGAUUUAUUGGGCGUAAAGCGUACGAAGGCGGCUGAUUAAGUCGAUGGUUAAAUCCUCCAGCUCAACUGGAGAACCGCCAUUGAAACUGCUCAGCUAGAGUCUGGUAGAGGCAAGCGGAAUUGCCGGUGUAGGGGUCAAAUCCGUUAAUAUCGGCAGGAACACCAAAUGCGAAGGCAGCUUGCUAGCACAGCACUGACGCUCAUGUACGAAAGCGUGGGGAGCGAAGCGGAUUAGAUACCCUCGUAGUC